rnacentral:rRNA from 1 species
AACGAACGCUGGCGGCAUGCCUAACACAUGCAAGUCGAACGAGACCUUCGGGUCUAGUGGCGCACGGGUGCGUAACGCGUGGGAACCUGCCCUUAGGUUCGGAAUAACUCCCCGAAAGGGGUGCUAAUACCGGAUCAUGUCUUCGGACCAAAGAUUUAUCGCCUUUGGAUGGGCCCGCGUUGGAUUAGCUAGUUGGUAGGGUAAAAGCCUACCACGGCGACGAUCCAUAGCUGGUCUGAGAGGAUGAUCAGCCACACUGGGACUGAGACACGGCCCAGACUCCUACGGGAGGCAGCAGUGGGGAAUAUUGGACAAUGGGCGAAAGCCUGAUCCAGCAAUGCCGCGUGAGUGAUGAAGGCCUUAGGGUUGUAAAGCUCUUUUACCCGGGAUGAUAAUGACAGUACCGGGAGAAUAAGCUCCGGCUAACUCCGUG